GGUUAAGCGACCAAGCGUACACGGUGGAUGCCCUGGCAGUCAGAGGCGAUGAAGGACGUGCUAAUCUGCGAUAAGCGCCGGUAAGGUGAUAUGAACCGUUAUAACCGGCGAUGUCCGAAUGGGGAAACCCAGUGUGACUCGUCACACUAUCAUUAACUGAAUCCAUAGGUUAAUGAGGCGAACCGGGGGAACUGAAACAUCUAAGUACCCCGAGGAAAAGAAAUCAACCGAGAUUCCCCCAGUAGCGGCGAGCGAACGGGGAGCAGCCCAGAGCCUGAAUCAGCAUGUGUGUUAGUGGAAGCGUCUGGAAAGGCGCGCGAUACAGGGUGACAGCCCCGUACACAAAAGCGCAUGUGCUGUGAGCUCGAUGAGUAGGGCGGGACACGUGGUAUCCUGUCUGAAUAUGGGGGGACCAUCCUCCAAGGCUAAAUACUCCUGACUGACCGAUAGUGAACCAGUACCGUGAGGGAAAGGCGAAAAGAACCCCGGCGAGGGGAGUGAAACAGAACCUGAAACCGUGUACGUACAAGCAGUGGGAGCCCCACCACUAAGCCAGUGGUGAACUCCACAUACGCAUCCUUUGCUGAGGAUGCGGUUAACGAAGCGAAAGCGACGUUCAACCGCAAAAGAAGCAGAGGGGGCUUAGUGGUGGGGUGACUGCGUACCUUUUGUAUAAUGGGUCAGCGACUUAUAUUCUGUAGCAAGGUUAACCGCAUAGGGGAGCCGGAGGGAAACC
rnacentral:rRNA from 1 species